rnacentral:misc_RNA from 1 species
GAUGAAGAACGCAGCGAAAUGCGAUAAGUAAUGUGAAUUGCAGAAUUCAGUGAAUCAUCGAAUCUUUGAACGCACAUUGCGCCCGCCAGUAUUCUGGCGGGCAUGCCUGUUCGAGCGUCAUUUCAACCCUCAGGACCCUUUGGACCUGGUGUUGGGGCUCGGCCGCUACCCCGCGGCCGUCCCCGAAAGAUAGUGGCGGUCUCACUGUAGCGUCCUCUGCGUAGUAAUUACACCUCGCACUGGAACGCGGCGCGGCCACGCCGUUAAACACCCCACUUCUCAAGGUUGACCUCGGAUCAGGUAGGAAUACCCGCUGAACUUAAGCAUAUCAAUAAGCGGAGGA